rnacentral:lncRNA from 1 species
CCACAUUUCUGCGCCUUUGACACACACAGACAAUGAAUCCAUAAGUUUCCUCGGUACUAAAGCUGGUUCAUAGGUUCUCCCUGACGAUCGUAGAAGCCCUCAGUCACAUGAUUCAGGCUUCCGAAGUUACCGUGACUCGAAAAGCAAAUCAUGAGGUCCAAGAUACACAUCUUAGGAAUCUGGGUGAUGGUUACGAAGCACCCAACGGGAUUAUCAUCUAUUCUCAUGAACCUUACACAUUGAGACUUGUAAUGAUUUUGAACGAUGACUUUAGCAAUUGGGUUACAAAUACUUCAAGCUCUUAGCGAUUAAUAAAGAUGGAUUCUCCUCCAGUCCACCAGAACCGGAUUUGGAAACACGCGAUGGAUUAUCUAUUCUCCCUUAUGGUGAUGUUGCAAAUUGUGAUCGUCCGCACCCCUGCAACACUGCUUUUCGAGUUGGAUAAACGCGAUGCUCACGCAUGAUGUCGCACGUAAUUUGCAGCCUUCUCAAUUUCUGCAGUUCUGCUAUGAAUAUUCUGUAGGGUGAACAAGGAACAUGGAAAUCUGUUUAACCUCGAGUAAUGAAAUGAAGAGCACACAACAGAGCAUGACUUGCACAACAGCCUUGGCCACACUCAGUUUCCUUGUUUACUU